rnacentral:rRNA from 1 species
GAUGAACGCUGGCGGCGUGCCUAAUACAUGCAAGUCGAGCGAACAGACGAGGAGCUUGCUCCUCUGACGUUAGCGGCGGACGGGUGAGUAACACGUGGAUAACCUACCUAUAAGACUGGGAUAACUUCGGGAAACCGGAGCUAAUACCGGAUAAUAUAUUGAACCGCAUGGUUCAAUAGUGAAAGACGGUUUUGCUGUCACUUAUAGAUGGAUCCGCGCCGCAUUAGCUAGUUGGUAAGGUAACGGCUUACCAAGGCGACGAUGCGUAGCCGACCUGAGAGGGUGAUCGGCCACACUGGAACUGAGACCCGGUCCAGACUCCUACGGGAGGCAGCAGUAGGGAAUCUUCCGCAAUGGGCGAAAGCCUGACGGAGCAACGCCGCGUGAGUGAUGAAGGUCUUCGGAUCGUAAAACUCUGUUAUUAGGGAAGAACAAAUGUGUAAGUAACUAUGCACGUCUUGACGGUACCUAAUCAGAAAGCCACGGCUAACUACGU